CGGCGGACGGGUGAGUAACGCGUGGGUGACCUGCCCCAUACCGGGGGAUAACAGCUGGAAACGGCUGCUAAUACCGCAUAAGCGCACAGAGCUGCAUGGCUCGGUGUGAAAAACUCCGGUGGUAUGGGAUGGGCCCGCGUCUGAUUAGGCAGUUGGCGGGGUAACGGCCCACCAAACCGACGAUCAGUAGCCGGCCUGGGAGGGCGACCGGCCACAUUGGGACUGAGACACGGCCCAA
rnacentral:rRNA from 1 species